rnacentral:rRNA from 1 species
UACGAAGGGGGCUAGCGUUGCUCGGAAUCACUGGGCGUAAAGCGCACGUAGGCGGAUUGCUAAGUCAGGGGUGAAAUCCUGGAGCUCAACUCCAGAACUGCCUUUGAUACUGGCGAUCUCGAGUCCGGGAGAGGUGAGUGGAACUGGCGAGUGUAGAGGUGAAAUUCGUAGAUAUUCGCAAGAACACCAGUGGCGAAGGCGGACUCACUG